AAAGGUCCCACAUCGGAAGU
rnacentral:snRNA from 1 species